UGAAAAGUGAUUUUGUUGAAAAUUAUAUGGAGAUGAUUUAAUACUGAUGAUUUCGUACAUUAUUGGGCUCGAAAUAUAGAAGAUAGCGAGAUGAGGCGAACAUUUAAUAUGGGCAUAGGGAUGGUACUUGUAGUGAGUCCUGAGGCGUCAAUUAAAAUACUUGAUAAUGGGAACGAAUUGGACAAAGUCUACAAAAUUGGUGAGGUUGUAAGAGGCAAGGGAGUGAGCUAUUGUUGACUCAGGUAUUUUGACGAUAAUCAUGUUACCUUUUAGAUACAUUUCCGUGACACAAAUUUCACAUUUUAGAUCCGGGUAACUGGUUUAUUUGGAGCUCUGUCUCUUCUACAUAAAAGUUCCUGGGUUAGCAGUAUUUUUCACGAUGCACUAGUAAUCGAAUUGCUCGUAAAGAUGUUCUGUUUUGCUUUUUAUGUUGGAAGUCAUUGAGGUUCAAUGAUCAUGCCAUGUAAUCGGAAAACCUAAUCUUAAUGCCAUGGAUUCCCAUCUAGAUCUAAUAAAAGCCCCAGUUCAACUUGAAGUGUAUGAAGUUUUUUUUUUUUUUAAAGUUACAAGUGUAUAAAGUUUUGAAAAAAUUGGUGAAAAAUUCCUGUUUAAAAAUUUAGUUGGCUAAAAUGACUUGAAUUUGAGAGAGUACAACUAUGAUCCGUGAGUACAAUAUAUUUUUCGUUGUGUGCAACAUAUUAUCAAUGAUAUGCAACAAUUAUCAAUACGGAAGUUAUUUGCACACAACAGAAGAUAUGUUACACUCACAUAUCAAUAUAACUAUUCAAUCUCUUCCACUCAAGCCAUAUGUUUGUGUCGGCUCACUGGUGGCUCUAGAGACAAAUUAAUGUUCACAAGGAUUAGAUGGCUUGGAUUAAAUUGCAUCUGGCUUUGUGCAAGCCCAAGCCGUUAUUAAUUAUUGACUUCACUUGGGCUUAGUGCAUAGUUGACAGAGACCCAGGAUUUGAAUUUCAAACUUUUGAAACUCCCCCGCUAACUACAGACCUGCGGGAGUGCUAUUUCUUUAAUCACAACCACAAAUGAAAUCACAAACCAGAUAAAAGGAACUCGUCUUCCUUCUAUAUUGGCAAGGAGAAGAAGAGAGCGUUUAACACAUCAUUCUCGCUUUGUUCUUGUCGUCCCAGCCUCUUGCUUCUCCUACUUUAAGUUGUAGCCCAGCUCGAUGCGCCCCUAAACGCCAGGCCGUGUAUAAUCACAUUGCUCUUGUUUAUGAUUAGCUCAAUGAUUUCUUCAACCCGGGUCAGCAUCGCAUUUGGAAGAAGCCCGUAGUGUCAUGGAGGCAUGCUGUUUCUUGACAACUGAAUCAAAUGUUUUGAGCCCCCGUCCCUAAUGUGCUAUUUGUUUGAACUUUGAAAUAGCAUGUGCUUAAUGAUCUGGUGAACAUGAUAAUGGCAAAGAUGCAUUGGUGAUGAGGUCGAUGAUGCUGGGGAGGCUGAGACGAGGAGAUCUUGGUUUGUGCUGCUGCAUUUGACUUGAGGUGAGGUUGCAACGGUAGGGAGCUGCUGCUAAAAUAACUGUCUGCAUCUUACAAUAGUUCAGGUUAUGUUCUAGCGGACCCUUGAAUGUGUCACCCAAUGAUCGUCUCAGUAAAUUUUGGUGUCAAUCCUUUUUCAGGGCAUUUUUAUUUUUUCUGCUAUUUUUUCUAUUUAUCAGAAUGUGAGGGAUGCGAUUGCUUCAGAGGAUUCAAUCUGUUAUCUCUUCUGGGUUUAUUAUUCGGGUAUUCUGUCAAAGUGUAACUGGAAAAAAUUUUGAAAUGAGGAGGGAAACACUUUUUUCAAAGUGAGGUUGAGGGUUAAAACUUACUUAUCAAAAGUGAUGUAGAAGAAGAUUAAAUAUGCAAUCAUUGUGGACAAUGCUAAUCUGCAUUGAAAAGAAACAAAAGGGAGUGUCUCACAAUGAUGUUAUUCUGCAUCUUACUGCCUUCUCUGUCUUGGAGUAUGAAUACUUUGCUGCCCUUGGUCUUGUGGUUAAAGCAUUCUGUAUCAAGGUUAGUUGAUCAAGGUCAAUAUAAAAUAUUAAGAUUAGUUAAUGUUAAUCAUAAUAAUCAAACCUAAGUGAUCAUAUCUCUGACUUUUGUUCCUGAAUCCUAACUGCCUUUCAUGUGAUACCUUAACCUCAAGCAAGCUAAGAAAACACCUUCAACCAGCAGUAGCAUUUACAAUUGCUUUGACUAACGUGUGGAUUUCAUUUUAAAAAACGUCAGUAGACUCAGCUUUCUGUUAUGCAGUAUUGUAUUGUUGUUUUGCCAGUUGUUUGGCGUGUGUUUCCAACAUUAAAGUUUUUGGAUUAAGUCGAAACUACUCUUUACAUUCUAGGAUGUUCGGUAGUUCUGUUUGCAGGUGACUUAAGAGACUAUGGGGUUUGGCUUGGUGUGAGUUAGAUCUUGAACGGUUUGAUUCUUCUUCUCAUGUUUUGUGUUAUUUUUUCAAGUCAGUUUCUUGCUUUGUGUAUGCCUAGGGGGUUAACCUUUGGUUGUGGAUCUUCAUCAGUGGUGAUACCGAGGAAGAACAAAUAAUGUGGCAGUCAUGCUUUUGCUAUCUUCCAGUAGAGAGGGUGCAUGAUAGCCAGUGACCUGUACGUUCUGUUUGCUUUGUGGAGUCCUUUAAAAACGCUAAGAUAUAUUCUGACUUUUGAAUUAUCUUGACAUGCUCAGCUUGCCUCUCAGCAAAGAAAGGUUGUUUUGAAACUAUGUCCUUUUUGGCUGGUGGGUAAAGUCAUUUGCAUUGGGGAGGGUGUAGAAUAUUUUUUUGUUCAUGUUGAAAUUGUGUAUUCAUGGGAUUCUAUCAUCAUGCCAUAAAGAGUUAUGCAAUCUAAGUGAGGCUAACGAUCCUAAUUUGGCUGCUAUUGUUCUUGUGCUUUUAUUAUUUUUGUGCUGAUGAUGUUUACUUUUGCAGGUUGAGGUAGAAUUUAGGCCCGUGUUUUUUUGCUCCUGCAUUUGCGCUCUUAGUAGAGGAUGACAUAAUAAAUCCCAAGACCAAAACUAUAAAACCAUGAAGAGUGUUCAUUUUACAUUACUAUGGAGGAGAGCAAGUAUAGAAAUUUGUUCAUCUUGCCUAGGAGAGAUUCAUCAUGUCUUCAUAAGCUGUGGUUUAUCUAUAUUGAGUAGCAAUAUAAUAUGUAGACAUUUUAUUUUGCUUGUCUCCUUAAACCUUGCAAUUACAUUAUGCAUUUAAUGAAAUAUUCUUUUUUAAUUGUUAUAUAUGUA